rnacentral:tRNA from 1 species
AAUGAAGUGCCUGAUAUAAAAGGAUUAUCAUGAUAGGAUAAAUAAUGUAUAAUACAAUAUUACCUUCAUUA